rnacentral:rRNA from 1 species
AUUGAACGCUGGCGGCAUGCCUUACACAUGCAAGUCGAACGGCAGCACGGGAGCAAUCCUGGUGGCGAGUGGCGAACGGGUGAGUAAUAUAUCGGAACGUGCCCAGUCGUGGGGAUAACGUAGCGAAAGCUACGCUAAUACCGCAUACGAUCUAUGGAUGAAAGCGGGGGAUCGCAAGACCUCGCGCGAUUGGAGCGGCCGAUAUCAGAUUAGGUAGUUGGUGAGGUAAAGGCUCACCAAAGCCGACGAUCUGUAGCUGGUCUGAGAGGACGACCAGCCACACUGGGACUGAGACACGGCCUAGACUCCUACGGGAGGCAGCAGUGGGGAAUUUUGGACAAUGGGCGCAAGCCUGAUCCAGCAAUGCCGCGUGCAGGAUGAAGGCUCGGUUGUUAACGUAGUC